ACAGUUUAGUCUCUCCUGAAGCUAUCCACGUCAGCGACUCCUUUAUGUUUGUGGGUCCCAUGAUUCAUGUCCGGUUUGGUUAUCUCAGUUUGGUUUCGUUAUUAAAUAAUAAAUACAUAUGUUUAUGAUUUCUUGGGAUAUCGUGGAGACGAGACGUAGCUCUUCGCCUUUCAAGCGUUUAUGUUCUUCUUCUUCAUCCCCUGAACCGUCUUCAUCAUCUCCACCCCCUACAAAGUGACCUAAGCUUAGGCGGCGGCGGCGGAACCGGCGGGGUCUUCAUCGGCGAGCGAUGUUCUGGUUGAGAAUCAAGGACCGGUUUCGGAUCCUGGAUCGGAAUCUGGAGAGUCGGAGCUAAGGCUCAAUGGGCGAAGAUACUUUCUCAGUAUUUUCAGAACCCCCACACUGUAUCAUGAGAGGCCAUGUAUUCACUGUUGGACGACGGUGAUUUAUCUAUCAAAAACCAAUCUAUGCCCAGCACCCUGUGUGAAAUCAAACAGUCUGAUCUCAGAGGUCCAUCGGUUGCAACUCUGGAGAUAUAGAUCUAUCGCAAGACGGUGAAUUGAGACUUCUCAAGCUCAGGAAAAUCGUACGGUGAUUUGGAACCUCUUCUGCAACUGAAGAAAUCAUAAUCCCAUCAGUUCAAUUUUCUUACACACAAUUCCCUAACAAUGGGAACUUCGUAGGCGCAGCUUCUGGUAAGACCUUCCCAGCUCUUGAUACACGCACAAAGGAAGUCAUUGCGAACGUAGCUGAAGGCGAUGCUGAAGAUAUCAACCGGGCAAUGAAAGCUGCAAGGAAGUCCAUUGAUGAAGGAGCUUGGCCUAAGAUGAUUGCUUAUGAAAACUCAAAGAUAGUGCUGAGAUUCACAUAUUUGGUUGAGAAACACAGCGAAGAGCUCGCAGCUCUAGACACAUGUGGCAAUGGGAAUACUUAUGAUCAAGCCAAAACCGCAGAGAUUGCAAUGAUCGCCGGUUUGUUUUGUAACGAUGCUGGAGGGGCGGAUAAGAUUCAUGGACUAACAAUUCCAGCCAAUGGAAACUAUCACGUCCAGACACUGCAUGAACCGAUAUGCGUUGCUGGACAGAUCAUUCCAUGGAACUUUCCGCUUCUGAUGUUUGCUUGAAAAGUUGGUCUUGCUUUUACUUGUGGUAACACUAUUGUCCUCAAAACCACUGAACAAACUCCUCUCACUGUUUUUAUGUCAGUAAGCUUUUUUUUUUUGAAGUAAUCAAUGUUCCGUUCCUUUCACGUUCUACUUACCAUUUUUGCUACUAAAAUAAAAGUCUUAAGUAUGUUUCUUAAAAUAUAUGAUAGGCAGGUCUUCCUCCUGGUGUUCUGAACAUAGUUUCUGGAUUUGGUCCAACCGCAGUGCUUCACUCACGAACAGCCAAGUUUGUUAAGUUCAUUCUCACGUUUUGUUCUGACAUGUGACGCAUAUGUGUCUUCUUUUGACGUUUCUUUCUUUUAAAUUAAGAAAGUAGAGAUUUACCAAAACAGAGAUGAUAUAGUAGUUUGGUUGAUUCAAAAAAAUGAUCGGCACGCACUGUUAUCCAUUGACAUCACAAAUCUCUGCAUAAGGUAAAUUUUUACUGGCACCCUAAAAAUUCGAUCAUUUUUUUUAAAUGCUUGGAGUAUUUUAUGUUGCUUCUCUUUCAAUCUGCAAACCUUCUCUUGGGGCUGGAGGUUGUUAUCUUUGAAAUAUAUAUAUAUAUAUAUAUAUGGAUGGACUUGAAACGGUGAUCUUAUAAUUUGUUGGUAUUUAGGUACUUAAUAACUGUUUGACACGUUGAUGACUACUUUCUAACUUUCCACUCUCUCUCAGCAACACCUCCUCAACAGAAGUAGUAACAUAAGCUUUCGAUGUUAUCAGUAUAAUGUGUAUGUCUGAUUGUUACAACCUAGAAAGAUCUCUUACACUGUGUUGUCUAUUUGUUCAAGCAGGUUCCUUGGUUGUAGUGAGACGUAACCAUCCAUAAAGCUACUGGUGCCUACUUUUGGACUCACAUCUUAUAAGCUCAAAGUAUCUCUGUGGAACCAAAGCAGAGCUCAAGAGGCAAGAGUGCCACAAGCUAUCUUCCUUGCCACAAGCUGCAAAUAAUUGGCCUGAGCGUCUGCAAUUUUAUCAGCCGGACUACAGUUUCUUCACCUGCAACAGCCGGCUAAUGAGGGAAAAAGUACAAUGCUUUGAUGACCAUCGAUUAGGCUCUGGUAUUAACAAAAGACCCAUUAUCUGCUAUUCUAUCUCGGUGACGUUUGUGGAACAAGGAUUUUAGGAGCACAUUGUGAAGUUUGUUUGGUGUUGUAAUGAAGAGAUGCAAAACUUUUUGUAGUACAAUUAGAUUGCUGAAGUGAAACACAGCUUAGGUUAUAUAUCAAUUUGUAACAGGUUUAAGUAAAGAUAUUUUUUUAGCUUUGACUAAUUUUGAGUGAAUAGAGUAAAAAGGUACUUCUGUUACUUGAAUAUGCACUUUAAGGUUCCCAAGUAAAUUAGACUACAACAUACACUCAUAAGCUACGAGGCUUUGAUACAUACAUCAAGACAAGGGCAUGACCAAGGCGUUGACAGCAUUAUAGACAGUGUGGAAAGACAUGAUAUAUCUUGAACGUGUCUUUGCAUGUUGCUUCAAAUAACUUAGGACCAGCCUCACUGAUCUCUGUACUUCCUUGCUUUUGGUAUGAAGGUAAGAAAUGGUGUGCAAAAUAUUUAAGGAUGCUUUUGAUGUCGAUUCAGAAAUCUCAAGAGGAAGAGCAUUUUUAUUUUUUUUCUAGGUUAGUUAUUUUGUACGUUUCACAAUAAGUACAAGUCGUUAGAGCUAAUGGUUACAGAGAGGCCUUCAAUCGCUUACCACAAAAAACUGAUAU